ensembl:snRNA U6 U6 spliceosomal RNA
GUCAACUGGCUUUGAGUGCACAGAUGGUAAAAUUGGAACAAGAUAGAGAAGAUUAGCAAGGCCCCUGUGCAAAGAAGAUAUGCAAAUUUACAUAGCAUUCUGUGUUUUU